rnacentral:rRNA from 1 species
AUGGGGUGCAGCAGGCGCGAAACCUCCGCAAUGCGGGCAACCGCGACGGGGGGACCCCCAGUGCCGUGGCAUCGCCACGGCUUUUCCGGAGUGUAAAAAGCUCCGGGAAUAAGGGCUGGGCAAGGCCGGUGGCAGCCGCCGUGGUAAUACCGGCGGCCCGAGUGGUGGCCGCUAUUAUUGGGCCUAAAGCGUCCGUAGCCGGGCCCGUAAGUCCCUGGCGGAAUCCCACGGCUCAACCGUGGGGCUUGCUGGGGAUACUGCGGGCCUUGGGACCGGGAGAGGCCGGGGGUACCCCUGGGGUAGGGGUGAAAUCCUAUAAUCCCAGGGGGACCGCCAGCGGCGAAGGCGCCCGGCUGGAACGGGUCCGACGGUGAGGGACGAAGGCCAGGGGAGCGAACCGGAUUAGAUACCCGGGUAGUCCUGGCUGUAAAGGAUGCGGGCUAGGUGUCGGGCGAGCUUCGAGCUCGCCCGGUGCCGAAGGGAAGCCGUUAAGCCCGCUGCCUGGGGAGUACGGCCGCAAGGCUGAAACUUAAAGGAAUUGGCGGGGGAGCAC